UACCCUAAGGAGUUCUAGC
rnacentral:snRNA from 1 species